AGAUGUAAAUGUUAUCCAGGAAGGGGACUACACUUUCAGCUCCAGGAUAGAUCAAGGAGGGAGAUUGAUGCCUCCUUGGGAAAAAAAAUAAUUAUGAAGCCAGCCCAGUCUUUGUGUGUUGAAUUAUGCAUGAAGCCACCAUAAUUGCAUGUAUCAGUCAAUGCCUGCAGGAGAAGACAAGGCUUGCCUGAGCACUGCAGGAGUUCCACAAAGAGCCAAGUGGAUAGACCCAUCCUUUCUGCCACAAACAGCCUGCCUAUGAGAAGACUCCAGUUCAAGACAGCACCAGAGGAUCAGCACUAAGGUGAUCUGGGCUGGAAUUCACUCAAUGGCUUCUUUAAAGAGCAAGGGAAAGCCCAAGUGGAGAGGAGAGGCUGUUAAUAAGGAAGUCAUUUCAGCCACCCAGGCUGUAAAGUGGUUGCCACAGAAGCAACUGCAGCGUAUGGAGCAGCGCAGAUAGUGAGGAAAGCCUCCCUGGCCUCUGGGACAGCUGUGUGAGAGCCUGCAGCACGAUCCCACACCCCUCCCACUUGAAUUCUCUGCUCUCAGGUCCAGAAGUGGUAUUUGAGAAGCUUUGCAUGGUGUUGAGGAUGUUUCAGCAAAACCUGAAAGAAGGCUCUGCAGAGGCUUCCUGCUGCUGCUUGGGAAUGAGGUGAAUUGCUGCCUGGCACACACUGGGGGAGUGUUCACAGUAUCACAGUAUCAUCAGGGUUGGAAGAGACCUCACAGAUCAUCAAG